rnacentral:rRNA from 1 species
GUCUACGGCCAUACCACCCUGAACGGCCCGAUCUCAUCUGAUCUCGGAAGCUAAGCAGAGUCGGGCCUGGUUAGUACUUGGAUGGGAGAAAGCAUCGUCUGGACGCUGUUCAUA